UCUCCACAUCACUUCCAUCAGGGAGAAUUCCAGUUUCUACAGUUGGAGGGACUCUCUCUUCAUUUCCUUCUGAGAGCUUUUGUGUGUAGUCCUCUUUUAUUUCCACAAUUUGCAUUCUGUUGUGUAUUUACCUGCUUACAGACUUAUUUGGUUACUAGUCAUUCACAAGGAAAAAAUCUGGAAUGCACACAGAACUUGCCUUGCGUUAUUCUCACACCUCCAAUCAAUCAGCAACUCUGUUGAUUUUGCCUGCUAGAUAUUUCUGGACUCCAUCUCUUCUCUGCGCCUCCUGCAGGCUGCCUAACAUUAUGAGAGACUGAGUCCUAAUAAAACCACGGUGAAGAAACAGGCAUUGGAACCAGGUUUUUCCAAUGUGGUUCAUACUGACUUCCCGAUGACCUGACAGGAUCACCUAGUUUGACAUUUGGUUCAUAGAAUGGAGGGCCUACAGAACGGGAGAAAACUUUGCCAGCUACUCUUCUGAUGGGAUUAAUAUUCAGAAUACAUAAAGAAGUAAAAAAAAAAUCAAGGAAAAAAUCAUGAAGUGGGCAGAAGAUCUAAACAGAAAUGGAUAUGCCUAACAAAUACAUGAAGCAG